rnacentral:lncRNA from 1 species
CACCAUGUUACAGACGACACCAGCCCAACGUAUCAAUAAUCUACGAUCAAUGGACCAAAGAUUCUCAACCAGGAAGUCACCAGAUGCCUUCAAGUUGUGACGGUUCUGCUCGAUCAUCUCUGUGUCGUCAUUACUGUAAGUUUUCAUCUGACCCACAAAUGAUAAACAUUAACAGAAGGAAUGAGGAAAAUCUAGUUUUAUUUACAACAUCUCAUGAAGUAGGGCCAAAUAAAAUCCAUUUGAUUUAUAUUUUAUUACUUUUUAACUCCUGUAAGGAAACAAAAUUAAAAACAAACGUAAGUAAAAUGUAAUUCAAAAUAAUGUGUAAGCUCCAAUUCAAAGUAGGGCUGGGCGAUAUGGACCAAAACCCAUUUCUCAAUAUUUUUUUUCUCAACUUGUCGAUGUUUGAUAUAAACUUUGAUAUUUUUAAACUCAAUAAAGUCUGACCACAAAGACA